rnacentral:rRNA from 1 species
CCUACGGGUGGCAGCAGUGAGGAAUAUUGGUCAAUGGACGAGAGUCUGAACCAGCCAAGUAGCGUGAAGGAUGACUGCCCUAUGGGUUGUAAACUUCUUUUAUAUGGGAAUAAAAUGUUCCACGUGUGGGAUUUUGUAUGUACCAUAUGAAUAAGGAUCGGCUAACUCCGUGCCAGCAGCCGCGGUAAUACGGAGGAUCCGAGCGUUAUCCGGAUUUAUUGGGUUUAAAGGGAGCGUAGGUGGAUUGUUAAGUCAGUUGUGAAAGUUUUGGGCUCAACCGUAAAAUUGCAGUUGAAACUGGCAGUCUUGAGUACAGUAGAGGUGGGCGGAAUUCGUGGUGUAGCGGUGAAAUGCUUAGAUAUCACGAAGAACUCCGAUUGCGAAGGCAGUUCACUGGACUGCAACUGACACUGAGGCUCGAAAGUGUGGGUAUCAAACAGGAUUAGAUACCCCUGUAGUC